AUCACGGAAGUUCUUUCAGAUGUUUUCUCUGCUUAGUAAUUUAUCUGGUACUCCCUACAUGCCAAUUCAGGUGACCUGUUUUAUUAUGGAAUGAGGUCCACAAUGUUUCAAAACUGACUUUUCUUAUUUCAUAGUUCAAACAUAGACAUAUAUAUUCAGGUUUAACAUUGAUUUGUUGAGAUAUGGUCCAUAAUUUGGCUCAUCCCAGAAUGGAAAGGAAACAUGUUUAUUAUAUUUUCUUUGAUUUCUUCUAUGGGUUUUCCUUGAAUGAUAUAUUGUUAGGAAGUGCCUAUUUAUAGACAGAUACAAAUAUGAUGAGGAUUAUUAAAUCCUAAACUUAUCAAAAUUCACAUGUCACGUGUAUAGAUUAUUUUCUGAUAUGCAGAUACUUAAAAUGAAUAAAAUUAUAGGGCUCAAGUAUAGUUUAAAAAGUUACUGGCGUUUAUCAAUUAUUGACAACUAUUUUGACCCCAAAAGUUGGAAAACUUAUUUUGACCCCUAAAUGUUUGAACGAAUUUCAAUUACACCCUUACACUAACAAAUAUUUGGAAAAUCUCAGUUUGGUCUACAGCCCCCACUGGUCCGUUCUUGUGUUCGGCCCUGCUACUCAGAAU
rnacentral:lncRNA from 1 species